rnacentral:lncRNA from 1 species
AGUCAUACUUCACAGUGGACGUGAUGCUUUUCAAAUAUCUACAUGCUUUUUUUAAGAAAACAAAAUAUCUACAUGCUUGAGCUUCCAAAAACUGAGCCAAUUUGGUUAAAUGAACAAACUAUUGUAACUAUAGAACUCUGAAUUUUAACGUUUGAGUAUUUGUUUUUCCCUGACUCAAUUUAUCUCCUAAUCCUUCCAUCAAAACAUAUAGGAGCCUUUACAAAACAUGUACUCCUAUCAUCCAUCUACCACUUUUGUGUUAACUUUCAGGAACAUUUGAAUACGAAAUCAUGAGAAAAAUUGGCAUGAACUUGUUGACUUCGCCGGCCAAAACAUUUGAAUACGAGCUGAUUGACCCCCAGCUGCCGGAUCGUGAUCCUAGACGCCUUCCCGUCCAAGUUCAUGCGCCUUGACCUCUUUACCCAGUGCCCUACCCCCUGUUCUUCUUCUUUCUGCUUCGCCAUUCUUCCUCAUGUGAUACGGAGGUGGCCGAUCUUCUCGACGUACGAUCGCUGAACCACAUAUAGUGGUAGAAAGAUAACUAUUGUACCCUCUGAUCUCCAUGGACCAGCAAGAACAAUCUUGAUAAGUUGCCAUCAAACCCUCAAUUCCCAACAGAAAAGCAAGCACGAUCUUCGGCGGAGCGUCCAAUUCUCCUUCUAACAUAUGCAUAGGAAGAAUAGGCAUGCGACCCUCAUCCUGGAGAAGCACGUAGCUAAAUCACUUCAUAAUUCGAGUCUAAGGUUACAUGGAUG